rnacentral:rRNA from 1 species
UGGGGAAUUUUGGACAAUGGGGGCAACCCUGAUCCAGCCAUGCCGCGUGCGGGAAGAAGGCCUUCGGGUUGUAAACCGCUUUUGUCAGGGAAGAAAUCUUCCGAGCUAAUACCUUGGGAGGAUGACGGUACCUGAAGAAUAAGCACCGGCUAACUACGUGCCAGCAGCCGCGGUAAUACGUAGGGUGCAAGCGUUAAUCGGAAUUACUGGGCGUAAAGCGUGCGCAGGCGGUUGUGCAAGACAGGUGUGAAAUCCCCGGGCUUAACCUGGGAACUGCACUUGUGACUGUACGGCUGGAGUACGGCAGAGGGGGAUGGAAUUCCGCGUGUAGCAGUGAAAUGCGUAGAUAUGCGGAGGAACACCGAUGGCGAAGGCAGUCCCCUGGGCCUGUACUGACGCUCAUGCACGAAAGCGUGGGGAGCAAACAGGAUUAGAAACCCUGGUAG